GUUUGGCAAAGAGCAUUGCAGUCAAUUAUAUUUUGGGGUGUAAUUUUCAUUUGAUGGUAAGUAAAUUAGAUGGACCAUCUUCUUUCUAAAAUUUCUGUGAAUUGAUCACCAUUUUUGCCAAUGCAUACAUCCAGAAACAGCUUUUCUUGUCAUAUGUUUCAGCGUUUGCCCAUGAAGCAUGAAUCUCAUAGAUAUGUUUUAUGUGUUUGAAGUAAGAAGUGGUUAACCCUGUCAAUACAUGUGAGAGAGAAAUCCUUUUUUUUUUUUUGCUUUAACACUGACACACCCAUACACGAUCAUCUUGGCUAAGUCCAAUCAUGAUUAUGUGUUUUUAUUCUGUCAACAGCUCUCUUCCGUGUGUUCUGCAUCCAACCCUGCUCUCUGUAGCUACUUUAUAUUUUCAUAGAUACACUUUUAUUUUUCAACUUCAGUGUCACGUCAUUUUCGGAGUCCUAAUUCUGCUCUUCGUGUGACAGGCAAAAAUAUGAGAUGCAUAAUGCGUGGGUCCUUUUGUUCGAGGGGCCACAUCCUUGACUUGCUUCAAGUGCUGCCAACCCACUCUUUAGCACUACAUUCACUCAAGUCUUAAGAUUCAUCAAGAUGAGAUUGUGGGCAACACAUGCUGCAACCAAGUGGAAACUGUGGAGUGUCAUACUGCAGCAUCAUGAGCCAAAGCAAAGCCACACAAUGUCCUUCAAGGUGAGCUGUCCUUGCAUCAUGCUCUUGAAAACACAAGACUGAAGACGCCGGCCCACAGCAUCUACAGGUAGUUCCUCUGCAAGUUAAAAGAAAAUCCAAAUGCACACCAGGAAAGAGCAUUGCGCUUUUGAAAAGUGAUUUGAUUGAUGAAAAAAAAAUCACUUUUAAAGCACAUAAAAUACGUUAGAGGUACCGUAUUUUCCACACUACAAGGCGCUUCGGAGUGUCAGGCGCACCUUCAAUGAGUGCCCUAUUUUAAAACUUUUAUCAUAUUUAGAGCGCAGGGCUUUAUAAAGUAAAUAGAAGCUACAAUAGUGGCUGUGGUUGCAUUGUGCGUCCACAAGAUGGAGCUAUGCUCAAGGGAAUACAAUAGAGUACAAUACAGCUUUAUUAAUAUAGAACUUUCACAACCGCUGCAACUGUAACAACGCACUUCACAGAACAUUUAAAAUACUACGUCCAACAAAUUAAAAUAUUGAUCCGUUUAUCAAGUGCAUCAGAUUAUAAGGCGCACUGUCAGCUUUUGAGAAAAUUGAAUGUUUUUAGGUGCACCUUAUAGUGCGGAAAAUACGAUACUUCUUUUCAUUCCCAUUCCUGUGUUAAGUUUCUUUUGGCGGGGCAAACCUGAUUUUUGCCAAGAUGAAAAGCAGCAUGGUGCUCGCUAUGUGUACAGUCAAUGCUUUGCUUCAAAUAGCUAGCAGGACUUUGCCCCACAUGAGAGCAAUAUCCAUGCAACAAAUAUAUUUCUUUCUAAACAAAAAACACAUUUUUUUGUUGUUUGCUAUUAAGCGUCAUCCAUCUGUCUAGUAUUUGGUUCACAUUUGGUAGCAAGGACUUUUCAAGGUAAGUAUUCUUUGAGGCUAUUUCUUAUAUGUUGGAUAGAUAUUCCUCUCAAUUAAAGUUGCUUCGUGAAACUCGAUUAAAGGACUGAACUUUCUCGAAAUCACAGGCUCUCAAGCCAGUUUGCCAAGGUCAUGUCUACCGCAGCAAAAGUCAAUUUUCACCAGGAUCGACACGACAGCCAAAUAUUGUGAGGGAAAUAAAGCAAAGCAAAUUCGGCAUCCUCAUUACAGCCGCGGGUCAGCUGAACCUAUCCCAGCACCCUGGAAUGGCUGCCAGUCAAUCUCAGGGUCCGUAUUGUGUAAACACCCAGCCAUUCAGACAUGCGUGUUUUGCGAACGUGGCGGGUAGCAUUGGGAGAGAGUAUAGAAACAACACACAGUAAGGCCAGUGCGGCUGUUCAAACACCGAGCCUCAGAAUUUGCGAGGCAGCCGUGCUAGCCACUACAGCACUGUGCGGCCAACUGUCAUUCCGUACAUGAAAAACAAAUCCUAUGAAACCGACCUGGAAUAGCAAGAGCUUAAUGUAAUGUACUUUUAAUGACGUAAAUGAAAGAGCAGAGUGCAUUGCGGAUGGCUCAUUAAACAGGCUGAUAGAUACUCGCUGCUUGUUUCACCGCCAUUUAAAGGCGUACGUUACGUAGGCUGGUUUUUAUUUUAAUGAGAACAGAGGUGAUUAUAGCUGCGGCGUAGGCGAUCUUUUUCUAUGGAUUACAUUGAACCGGGUCAAACGGCGCCGGCGCUCGAUGGAUUAUCACACAACAAUAGAGCAUUAAAAUUUUUUUUUUAUUUAUUUAUUUACCGGCGCCCCAAAGUAGAUGCGUGAGUGUGAAUUUAUGAUGACUGUUUCAGAAUGAGGAGAAUCCAUUUAGCAGAUGGUGGUGUAAAAACGCAGACUAUGGCGCGAGACUUAUUUGCGUUUUUAGUUUUGGACUCUUGUUGAUCUAAAAUGCAGUUGUUGUUUUUUUUUUUAUGCUAUGAUUUUCAAGAAGAAUUGUGACUCAGUCUGACAGAAGCAAUAAUUACAGUGUGGGGAGCAAACACUUAACAUAAAUCAUUAACCAAGUGAAUGACUUUUUUUCUUACAUUCUGUAUGCUGCAUUAUACAUUAGGCUUCAUUAUGAUCACUGAAAGCAUUUAUCCAAAUGUUUAGAUUGUUCCUGGGAGAGUGAUCCAUCAUGAAAAUGAAGCGUGACACAAAUGGAAAAAAUCGUGCCAGUACUUGCAAUGAUCAUUCUUAUUUAAUUGCACUACUUGACGCCCUUUCCUUGAAAGUAAGUCCGAUCACGACACAUCACCGAGCUAGUUAGGGAGCUACGCAGCUAAUGGAAAAUGGAGGCCAAUAAAGAAAGAAAGAAAAAUAAAGAUCUUUGAAAUAUACAGUUGGCUCACAGACACAAUUCCACUUUUAAUAGGAUUGUAAACGCAUUCUGUUUCAAGGGGUUUGCCUUUGCAUUUAGAGUUGUCUAAUCACAGUGGUCCGUAAAAUGCCUGAAGAAACGCCGUGAUUGUCUGCGCUUGUGGAGAGCACUCUGCUGCGCGCUCUCACUGCGAUUAGAACUCAGCGGCAUAUUACAGUGCAGGGGCUCAAUUGAAUAUCGCUCCGUUGGGAGCGCGCUCGCUUUAAAGAACUCAAUAUGCUGGCUCUUUGUGGCGCCAUAAUGCUUUCCUUUUGCACAUCUGUCUCCCACUUACGAGCCUCUGCAUGGGCUUUCAAUACUACCUCUUUCCUAUAUGUUUUAUAAUCCUUUAUAGUGUUCACGGUAAGGUUUGCAAUGACUAUUGUAUGGUGCAGGUAAAGGGUAAAUGCCAAUCUUUUAUUUAUUCAUACAAUGAAAAUCCGAUAAAAACUCACCUCAGUAUAUACGUAAUGAUCACUGUCAAAGAAUUUCACAUCACCUUAUGUGCACCUAUAUGCGUUGCUCUUCACAUAUUGCGUCGUGCAAAGCCGCACCCGGCUCAUUGGAGAGCAAUUAGGUCUUUAUUUUGAUUUUCUUGCUGGAGGAAACGGCAACAUGGUCUCGAAAGGAGUCGAGACUCGAGGCCAUGGCGCCCAAGCAGCAAAUAACAUACAGAAUAGCUAAAUUAAUAAGCAUCUGGCUUGUUUUCGUGCAACGUCUGUUUCUCCCAACUUUGAACAACUCAACUUUAAACAUCAAAAGCUUUCCACUCGCUCUACCACAGUGGAACAUCCAGAAUUGACCUCAGUGUGUCUCUCGAUGCCGUUUGACUUGAAAGUUGUUGUUGUAAUUACCGGUAAAACAUAAAAUGACAUAUCAGGUGCAUGGUGGGACAUGGUUAGUUUGUCUGAAUCACAGUUCCAUGGGUUCCAGGUUCCAUCCUUGG